AACCCACAUCACAAUCAAGGCUUCAUGAAUAAUUUAUUCCAUUUGAAUUUUUUUUCUUUUUUUAAAAAGUAUAAACCUUUUUUUGUUUUGUGGUUUUUUUUUUUUUUUUUUUUUUUUUUUUUUUUUUUUUUUUUUUUUUUUUUUUUUUUUUUUUUUUAAUUUUUUGUUUUUUUUUGGUUUUUUCUUCUUCAUUUCCUCGAUCACAAUUUGUACAACUCAGUGUUUAUGGCAUUCGGCAGAAAUAGUGUUUGUUCCUUAAAUCCGCUUUUUCUUUUCUGUGUUUUGUCACGAUGAAAUGCGAGGCUCCCUGGCACAUCCAGCCGUGCCCGAGGGGUGCUGGAACAGCUCCGGGACCUGUCCGGCGAGGCAUUGGAACAGCUCCGGGACCUGUCCGGCGAGAUGUUGGAGCAGCUCCUCGGUGGUGCUGGAACAGCUCCAGGACCUGUCCAGUGAGACAUUGGAGCAGCUCCUCGGUGGUGCUGGAACAGCUCUGGGACCUGUCCGGCGAGGCGUUGGAGCAGCUCCUCGGUGGUGCUGGAACAGCUCCGGGACCUGUCCGGCGAGGCGUUGGAGCAGCUCCUCGAUGGUGCUGGAACAGCUCCGGGACCUGUCCGGAGAGGCGUUGGAGCAGCUCCGGGACCUGUCCAGCGAGAUGUUGGAGCAGCUCCUCGGUGGUGCUGGAACAGCUCCGGGACCUGUCCAGUGAGACGUUGGAGCAGCUCCUCGGUGGUGCUGGAGCAGCUCCAGGACCUGUCCAGCGAGGCGUUGGAGCAGCUCCUCGGUGUGUCCGGCCGCGGUGUUGGGACUCCCCGUGUGUCCGGCCGUGCCGGUGCGGUGCCGGAGCGGCUCCGGGCGUGUCCAGCCGUGCCGCGGGAGCAGCUCCGAGGUGUGUCCAGCCGUGCCCGAGGGCCGCCGUGUCCAGUCACGAGGCCACAAGGCUGCAGCAGCCCCAGGCAGCGCUCGGCAAGGUCCUCACGUCCAGUUGACUCGGAAAAAACCUAAAGCUCGAUGAGUAGCAUCCUGAAAAAGUGACCCUGAGGAUUGUGGUAGGUCCCAAAUCCAGUUUUACUGUAAAUUAAGCUUUACUCCGCUGAAAAGAAAAAGUACACCCACAAAUAAUAGUAAAAAAACCCUUUAAGAACGAAGCGUAGUCCUGGGCCCUUUACUUUAAAAAAAUGAAAAAAAAAAAAUAAAUAAAACAAACAAAACCA
rnacentral:lncRNA from 1 species